rnacentral:rRNA from 1 species
UACAGAGGGUGCAAGCGUUGUUCGGAAUUAUUGGGCGUAAAGCGCGUGUAGGCGGCUUUGCAAGUCGGGUGUGAAAGCCCUCAGCUUAACUGAGGAAGUGCGCCCGAAACUGCAGAGCUUGAGUACCGGAGAGGGUGGCGGAAUUCCCCAAGUAGAGGUGAAAUUCGUAGAUAUGGGGAGGAACACCGGUGGCGAAGGCGGCCACCUGGGACGGAUACUGACGCUGAGACGCGAAAGCGUGGGUAGCAAACAGG